GGAUGUAAGAGUGAUCGGGCUGGGACAUGUGUCACCCCACUGAUCACUAGAGUGAUAUGGCUGAUCUUGUUGGCCAGGCGGGGUGUCCUCUUCCUCCCUCACUACUCCAUGUGUGUCCCUUGUGAAACUAUGAGCCUUCCCUGAUUGAGGAGGCCUGUUCUUUUGUUUAGGGCAUAGGAAUAGCUGCACUCCCCUUCUAGAACUUCCAGGCAAUCCCUGGGGGUCCAUUUUUAGGAGACCAUAGGGUAGUCAAGCUUCCAAGACUCUCGGUUUAUCCAAAUGAGGCACUGUGUAUGGCCAUCUGCAUUUCUUU
rnacentral:snRNA from 1 species